rnacentral:rRNA from 1 species
GAUGAACGCUGGCGGCGUGCCUAAUACAUGCAAGUCGAGCGAACAGACGAGGAGCUUGCUCCUCUGACGUUAGCGGCGGACGGGUGAGUAACACGUGGAUAACCUACCUAUAAGACUGGGAUAACUUCGGGAAACCGGAGCUAAUACCGGAUAAUAUAUUGAACCGCAUGGUUCAAUAGUGAAAGACGGUUUUGCUGUCACUUAUAGAUGGAUCCGCGCCGCAUUAGCUAGUUGGUAAGGUAACGGCUUACCAAGGCAACGAUGCGUAGCCGACCUGAGAGGGUGAUCGGCCACACUGGAACUGAGACACGGUCCAGACUCCUACGGGAGGCAGACGUAGGGAAUCUUCCGCAAUGGGCGAAAGCCUGACGGAGCAACGCCGCGUGAGUGAUGAAGGUCUUCGGAUCGUAAAACUCUGUUAUUAGGGAAGAACAAAUGUGUAAGUAACUAUGCACGUCUUGACGGUACCUAAUCAGAAAGCCACGGCUAACUACGUG